rnacentral:lncRNA from 1 species
CAUGGAGAACUGUGAAGAUAGCCAAAGCUUUAUACUUUGUAAAGUAGGAAUGUCAUUUUCUAUUAACAAUCCGUCAUCCACAUAUAGUACAAUGAAGAUGACUACAAAACCAUUAGCCCAUUUAUAAAUGCAUAGUUCUUCUCCAUUCCUAAUGAAGCCAUACGUUUUGAUCAUCUUAUCAAAAUUUAUAUUCCAACUUCUAAAAGAAUAAUGCCCUACAAGCCAAUCGCAUAU